rnacentral:rRNA from 1 species
GACGAACGCUGGCGGCGUGCCUAAUACAUACAAGUUGAGCGAUGAAGAUUGGUGCUUGCACCAAUUUGAAGAGCAGCGAACGGGUGAGUAACGCGUGGGGAAUCUGCCUUUGAGCGGGGGACAACAUUUGGAAACGAAUGCUAAUACCGCAUAACAACUUUAAACAUAAGUUUUAAGUUUGAAAGAUGCAAUUGCAUCACUCAAAGAUGAUCCCGCGUUGUAUUAGCUAGUUGGUGAGGUAAAGGCUCACCAAGGCGAUGAUACAUAGCCGACCUGAGAGGGUGAUCGGCCACAUUGGGACUGAGACACGGCCCAAACUCCUACGGGAGGCAGCAGUAGGGAAUCUUCGGCAAUGGACGAAAGUCUGACCGAGCAACGCCGCAUGAGUGAAGAAGGGUUUCGGAUCGUAAAACUCUGUUGGUAGAGAAGAACGUUGGUGAGAGUGGAAAGCUCAUCAAGUGACGGUAACUACCCAGAAAGGGACGGCUAACUACGUG